CGCGGUUUUUUUAACCUCCGGGUAUUUUUUAUUUUCGCGAUCUGUGUAUUGCUCAUGUUUCUAUGGUUACAACUGUGAAACCUAAUCGUGUUCGUCGCGAAAAUCAACAUUGUGUUUUUUUUUUGGUUAAUUUGUACCUAAUAAACCGACGGAUAUCGUAAUUUAUCAAGUUUAAAUUUGCAUUGCUUUAUUUUUGUCACCUUACAACUUCCCGCCGUUCCAUUGCCACCCCCAGGUUUUUCGGCAUGUGCAACAAGAUCUUUGGUGCCACCUUUAUUCCUAACUCCAAAAUUUUGUUGACUAAAAUAUUUUUAGGACUAAGUAAUGAUUGUUGAUCAAAGAUGGGACCAUCCCAAGGCGGUGAUGUUACAAUGCAAUUACAAUGAAAACAAAAGAAAAUAAGGACUUAUAAAGAAGAAACGAUAAAAAUUAACUACACUCGAAAUUGCAAAUUACUGUAUUUCAAUUCACUAAAAGAUAAUGGAAAAGAAUAUACAAAUUAUUCUAUCAAAAAUUUCAAUCAAUGUAAGUCGAAAUAAGCGCAUACCUUUAAAAUUAUUAUACAAUUGCAAUGGAUCUGUGUAUAGGAACCUAUGACUUCCUAUCAUGCAAUCUGUGGCUGUUUAGAAAAUGCUUCAAUAUAAAUAAUGUUAUAAAUUUUAUAGUAAUAAAUAAUUUUUUGAAUUGAUACGAUAUUUAUUUCUGGUAAAAAUAAAACAAUAUUUUAUCUAUGGCAUGCGGAUCGGGAACUUUUUUAUUGUGACUUUACAGUAUUUAUUAACCUUAUCGCACAAUUAGUUUUAUUAUGUAUAUUACUAUAUAAUAUAUAUUAAGGGUGGCCAGCUAAAACAGACUUAGAGCCGCUCAAUGUAUUAAUAAAUUAUG